CACUUUUUUGUUUUGACAUUCGAGGCAUCAAAACAUUGAAACAACCAAUCACAGAUCAAAUUGUGAGAUGAUGUCAUAACACUCGCUGGACCUAAGUUAAAAAAAACAUGGCGGCCAUAGAGAGACGAGAAUGAAAGCAUAAAACAUUAUCUUUUUUGGGGAAUUUAGACGUAUCGAAACUUGAAAGACUUGUAGAAAAGCCUUUGGGCGCAAAGAUGUGGAAAAAUUCAUAUUUCGAAUGGCUAUGUUCGCUGGGAAAGUCCGAUUCGCUAUAUUCGAUAGAUGACGGCGAGGAUGAUGGCCAUCUCGAUUGAAUUACAGCUGGGAAACGUAAUUAUAAUUCGAAGGCACAACUAACGGUGGACAAGCAGCCAUGAAUUUUUUACUCUAAAGUUGACUACUCAGUACUGCAAAUGGUUUUCGUUGCGUCCUCCGAAGCUCAUAGUGCAUGCAUAAGUACAUGCCUUACGGUGUGUUGUGUUUGGUCUCCAUUGCAGCCCGUCAGAGUUUGUCGGUCAAUCAUGAACAUUCAGUAUUCAAAUUGCCUUGUGCAGGCGCUGUUAAAAGCUAAAUGGGGGUCUAAAAUUUAUUACAAUAGCUUUGUGCUUAAACUAGGUCCGAAACGAAACCUUUAUUUUGCUAAAACAUAAGUCUAGAGGUUAAGUAGCAAGCCUGAAUAAAAAAGGCGCUUCAUUUUUGUUCGUUUUUGGUUUUCGUCGAAAUAAAAUGUCUCACAGACUGGGGCCGAAUUUGGACCGUUGGGAGGCCUGUGGUGACUUCACAACCAUGGUACGGCGCGAAAUUUUAGUGUUAACAAAAUCAAAGCCCCAGAACUCAGUCGGAUAAUGGCGUCUGUUACUGCGACAUUCCGCAGCAUUUAAUAACAAUAGCAUUAUUUUUGUCUUUGCUUAUUUUCCAUUUGUUUAUUUUGCGUUCACACAUUCUUAGUAUAAAUCAAUGUAAAUUACCGUCGCUUUUAGCAGAGUUCACCGGUCUGAAAGAGUUCACAUCAUUUCAACCGUCAUUAUCGUCACUAUCGUCAUUACCGACAUACCGUCAUCACCGUUAGUACCGUCUUUAUCGCAGAUAAGUUGUUGAAUAAAAUCGUCCGUGUUACAGUUA